rnacentral:rRNA from 1 species
AUGGCGAACGAGGUGUGCAUGCGUUCAACUUUUGAUCUCAUCCAGAGUUGUGAGCGGUUUCAGAAACGUGGCCAUGGGUUUGCUGAGGAGGGCACAAGCAAGAAAAAGUUAGCUACUUCACCAUCUCCAUCUUCUAUGGCAGGCCGACAGGCUUCAUUGUCGAGUUCUGAUCUCAUGCCUAGUUGCGAAGGAUUUCAAAAGCAUGGCUAUGAGUUCCCAACGACACAUGUCAGCCAUCGGUUGCUUUACACCACUGGUGCUGAAAGUUGCCUCAGUGAUAAUGGCAACGCCACUGCUGCUAAGGACAGCCUUAGCAACAAUCUCGACCUAAAAAAUGAUGACAGUCUUGGAAACAUCCCUUAUUACAAUGAUUUUCUCCCUCUUGAGGAUGAUUCCGGUGAUACGCUUACAGAUGAUGAUGGGAUAGGAAUUAUCCAAAGGGUUAGUCCUAUGGAAUAUAUCAAAAGGCUACUAUUGAAGAGAUCUGCUUUGAGUAUCUCUUCUGCUGAGUUAGGUGUCAAUACGAAGUUAAGUAUGAUUCCAGAAUCUUCGAGAGAUUUUAGGCAUAGUGGUGAUCUUUGUUGGCACGAGUAUUAUCACAUGAGUGAAGUAUCUCAGACUGUUUUGCCACCAAAGCGGUAUACUCGGUGCGAACCUUUGACUGCGGUGCGGUGCUUUCACGAGCCACAGGCUAUGCUCCAGGUUUUUUCUAUCAAGCUGAAGGCAUAUCUCCAAGCUAUUGGCAGUUCAGUCGAUGUAUAUGGUUUUGUUGCAGUCCGGGAUGGUGAGGAUUAUCACCGAAAUUAUCUUUUCAAUCGACCCCGAACUGACCCAGUGACCAUCAACACGACCAGCGACUACCUGCCUUUGAUGAGUCCGAUAAGAGGCAUGUCCAUGACAUUUGAAUGCUUGAUCGAAGUUGAUAUCAGAAUAAAGGGAGAUAUAGAAGAUGUCACUCUAGUCGAUGGGUGUUCCGAUCUCAUUGAGAGUCGUUGUCUAUAUGACACAGAAAUCGAGUGCACGAUGGAGAUACAAAUGGUGCGGCCAUGUUCGAUUUUAUCAUCUUUCGUAGAGCGCUUGAGGCGACGAUAG